UAUCAUUUUUCACAACAGCAUACCAAGUAAAAAAAUUGCGGUAUGCAAAACCAUCAUGUCACAAAAAAUACCUUGAAAGUAAUUACAAACAAGAAGAAAAUAUUCACCAACUUGCCUAAGUCGAAUUUGUCCUGGAAUAUCAACAUCCAUUAAAAAAAAAAAAAAAACGUAAGCAUAGGGAAAAUCUUGUUGCCGAACCUGUGAUCAGCAAAAUUGUAUGAUGCAU
rnacentral:misc_RNA from 1 species